ACCCGGCUGGCUCAGUUAGAAGAGCGUGCAACUUUUGCUCUCGGGGUCAUGAGUUCGAGCCCCAUGCUGGGUG
rnacentral:tRNA from 1 species